rnacentral:sRNA from 1 species
AAAAGGAAGACACAAAU